CCAGACUCCUACGGGAGGCAGCAGUGGGGAAUAUUGCACAAUGGGGGAAACCCUGAUGCAGCGACGCCGCGUGAGUGAAGAAGUAAUUCGUUAUGUAAAGCUCUAUCAGCAGGGAAGAAAAUGACGGUACCUGAGUAAGAAGCCCCGGCUAACUACGUGCCAGCAGCCGCGGUAAUACGUAGGGGGCAAGCGUUAUCCGGAUUUACUGGGUGUAAAGGGGGCGCAGACGGCGAUGCAAGCCAGGAGUGAAAGCCCGGGGCCCAACCCCGGGACUGCUCUUGGAACUGCGUGGCUGGAGUGCAGGAGGGGCAGGCGGAAUUCCUGGUGUAGCGGUGAAAUGCGUAGAUAUCAGGAGGAACACCGGUGGCGAAGGCGGCCUGCUGGACUGUACCUGACGCUGAGGCGCGAAAGCGUGGGUAGCGAACGGGAUUAGAUACCCCUGUAU
rnacentral:rRNA from 1 species